GUGAGCUGCCAUGUGGGUGCUGGGAACUGAACCUGGGUCCUUUGGAAGAGCAACCAGUGCUCUUAACCAGGGAGCCAUCUCUCCAGCCCCUCAAGAUACUUUUUAAAAACAAGACACUUCAAAUACAUCGAUGGAGACAUCAAAGGGCAGCACUGUUGAAGGGCAGAGACAGGAGGAUCAUUGGGGCUGGCUGGCUGCCACGACGGUGCUGGAAACGGAGCCCAGGUCUUCCAGAAGAGCAGCCAGCGUUCUUAAACACUGAACUAUCUUGUCUUCAUGAAGUUCUUUCCUUUUUCUUUUGAGACAAGGUCUCACCAUGAAGCUCCGGAUGGCCUGGAACUCAUUGUGCACAGGCUGGCCUUGACCUCAUAGAGAUCUGCUUCUUAAGUGCUGGGUUUAAAAGUGGGGGCCACCAUUCUCGGCCUCUGGUGUUUUUUGUUUUGACAGGAUUCUCUGUGUAGCCCUGGAUGUCCUUGAACUCAGAGAUCUGCCUGCCUAUGCUGGGAGUAAAGAUUCGACCCUAACCACUUGGUGUGAGGAAUGACUUUCCCUGUGUGGCCACCAGGGGGCAGCCUACACCCAGCACAUGACGGGUAGGUUGGGAGCGGCCCCUGCAGGUGGGUUAUUGCUUGUACCGCAGGGCAGAGGCUGCGGGAAGCUCUGCCCUGCUGUAACUUCUACAUCUCACUGGGGACAGGACGAUGACGGGGACUGGGACCGGGGAUGGGGUGUCGGGGAGCAGCCGGUUCCAUCUUAUGAAGGCAGCGACAGAAUUACUCCCAUUCCUGUGAAGCUUGGGCCUCCCAGCAGAUCCGCGGCCACCCUCUCUGAUGAGGUUGGUUCUAGGACCUCAGGAUGAGGGUAUUCCUUGGACAGGGCACAGACUCUCCGCAGAUGAACCGUAAAGGGAAAAGGACAUGCCUGCCCCUUAGAGGCGGGCACAUGGAACCUGUUUUUUACCCAUAACUUCCCAGCCCAGAGCCGGGUCAACCCAUCUUCAGCUGGCUGGAGGAAACCCAAAGUUUCUGGAUUCUAGCUAAGGACUUUUGGGCUCUGCUUUCUCCCCAGUUCCCAUCAGCCAGACCCGGGAGGCAUUUCCUCCUAAGUCUUAGGCCCCACCGUCCUCCUAGUUAAUUCAGAUUAUAUACUGUGAUGGUUUGAGGGAGAAAUGUCAUUCAUAGACUUAUGUAUUUCAACACUUGGUCCCUGGAUAGCGGUUAGUAUUCUUGUUUGGGAUGUACAGAACCUUCAGGAGAGUGAUCUCAACAUGUGGGUCGCGACGGACAACCCUUUCCCAAAAGUUGCCUAAGACCAUUGGUAAACAUAUAUUUACAUUAUGAUUAAUAACAGUAGAAAAAUCACAGUAAUGAACUAGCAAUGAAAAUAUUUUUUUGGUUGGGGGUCAGACACCAUGAGGAACCAUACUAAAGGGUCUCAGCAUUAGGAAGGGUGAGAACCACGGCUUUAGGAGUCGGAUGAGAGUUUGUAGUCUCACCUCUCCUCUAGUUUGCCCUCUUUGCUUUCUGGUUGUGGUUAAAGAUGUGAUCUCUUGGGCUGGAGAGAUGGCUCAGAGGUUAAGAGCACUGACUGCUCUUCCAGAGGUCCUGAAUUCAAUUCCCAGCAGCCACAUGGUGGCUCACAACCAUCUGUUA